GAUGAACGCUAGCGAUAGGCUUAACACAUGCAAGUCGAGCGCGACUGAUUUGAUGCUUGCAUCAUUGAAAGUUGAGCGGCGGACGGGUGAGUAACGCGUGGGUAACCUGCCCUAUACACAUGGAUAACAUACUGGAAAGUUUACUAAUACAUGAUAAUGUAUAUUUACGGCAUCGUAGGUAUACCAAAGUGUUAGCGGUAUAGGAUGGACCCGCGUCUGAUUAGCUAGUUGGUGAGAUAACUGCCCACCAAGGCGACGAUCAGUAGCCGACCUGAGAGGGUGAUCGGCCACAUUGGAACUGAGACACGGUCCAA
rnacentral:rRNA from 1 species